GUGGAAGGAGAGGAGGACCAAAGCGCAGCGUGAUGUCAGACACCGAGGCUGCCUGCACCGCCGUUGAUCAGAACAGACAGCGUAUACUUGACCAAAGCUAUGCUUGGAUACAGGACUGAUGACUCAAUAACCAGUAUUGACAAUAGUGAAGAUGGUUAUGUCCCAGGGCCAUCAGGAUCAUCAGAGGAAGGCAAUUUCUAUGAAGAAAAUCUGACCGGUGUGCCUAUACCUUACAUACACAUGGACCUAUUCUUAAUUACAAUGUCCUUCUCGACAUGUUUUCCACUGAUGUUUUCCAGGAGAGAUGUCAGCGAUUCGGGCCAAACAGCCAAUGACCAAGGGAAAGCUGGGACAAAAGAGAGGCUCACACGGUGCCAAAGGAACAAAAAGGUAUUGGUCGACAAUAGAGGUGGAUGCAGUUGAAGAUUCCUUGAUGAAUUUCAUCCGAAUGGGAUAAACGCCUGGAAAACAAGACUGUAAGAAAUGCAUUGCUGCUUCUCCCCAAGCACUAGUAAACAGGGACUGGAGAGCAGUAUCUUGGUGUACUUCUGAGGAUUUAAUGGGACUCACUUGACUUCAGCUCAUAGGCAGAUGACAAAUGUCCUCUAUCUCACUAUUCGGGGGAGUUUUUCCGGGUGGGUGGUUCACUUUUGUAGUGACUAAGGUCUCAAGAAUACAAAGCCUGCUGACUUUGAAUGUUACAGGGGGAAAAAAAUACAAUUCUAAACUAUUAAUCUGUUACUUGGAUAUAUUGAGUCCAUUACUGAAAUGGUUGUUCCAGUUUAAAUACUUUACAGAAGAACUACACUACAGCCGUUGAAUUGCCAUCCAUGUUGCACCAUUGUGGCAUGCUACAUGAAUAUUUUCAGCCAAAAAAUAGAAUGAAUGCGUCAAAUAUCGAGAAUUUAAACUUGUUAAUUAUUUUACGGUUCCAUUAGGUACAACGUAGGCAGUUGGAUAGCUUUUAUAGAUUUCAUAGGAGGCAUUCUCUCAAUGGCUGAUGGCAAUGCAUUGUGUGGCUGCUGCCAAGAUACAUACUCAAUCUCUAGCCACUAAUAGUUAAUAAUACGAUGUAAUGAAUGUAUCACUAGUCACUUAAACAAUGCCACUUUAUAUAAUGUUUACAUACCCUACAUUACUCAUCUCAUAUGUAUAUACUGUACUCUAUACCAUCUACUGCAUCUUGCCUAUGCCGUUCGGCCAUCGCUCAUCCUUAUAUUUAUAUGUACAUAUUCUUAAUUAUUCCUUUGCUCACAAGAAACCAACAACACACACCACAGAUCAUUUUCAACUGCAUUAAAACUUUAUAGAAACAGAU